GAUGAACGCUGGCGGCGUGCCUAAUACAUGCAAGUCGAGCGAACGGACGAGAAGCUUGCUUCUCUGAUGUUAGCGGCGGACGGGUGAGUAACACGUGGAUAACCUACCUAUAAGACUGGGAUAACUUCGGGAAACCGGAGCUAAUACCGGAUGAUAUUUUGAACCGCAUGGUUCAAAAGUGAAAGACGGUCUUGCUGACACUUAUAGAUGGAUCCGCGCUGCAUUAGCUAGUUGGUAAGGUAACGGCUUACCAAGGCAACGAUGCAUAGCCGACCUGAGAGGGUGAUCGGCCACACUGGAACUGAGACACGGUCCAGACUCCUACGGGAGGCAGCAGUAGGGAAUCUUCCGCAAUGGGCGAAAGCCUGACGGAGCAACGCCGCGUGAGUGAUGAAGGUCCUCGGAUCGUAAAACUCUGUUAUUAGGGAAGAACAUAUGUGUAAGUAACUGUGCACAUCUUGACGGUACCUAAUCAGAAAGCCACGGCUAACUACGUG
rnacentral:rRNA from 1 species